UAAUGGCCCACCAAGGCAAAGAUCGGUAGCCGGCCUGAGAGGGCGCACGGCCCACUGGAACUGAAAUACACGGUCCAGACUCCUACGGGAGGCAGCAGUGGGGAAUUUUGCGCAAUGGGGGAAACCCUGACGCAGCAACGCCGCGUGGAGGAUGAAGUCCCUUGGGACGUAAACUCCUUUCGACCCGGACGAUAAUGACGGUACGGGUGGAAGAAGCCCCGGCUAACUUCGUGCCAGCAGCCGCGGUAAUACGAGGGGGGCAAGCGUUGUUCGGAAUUAUUGGGCGUAAAGGGCGCGUAGGCGGUGCGGUAAGUCACCUGUGAAACCUCUAGGCUUAACCUAGAGCCUGCAGGCGAAACUGCCGUGCUUGAGGGUGGGAGAGGUGCGUGGAAUUCCCGGUGUAGCGGUGAAAUG
rnacentral:rRNA from 1 species